rnacentral:rRNA from 1 species
GCAAGUCGAACGAGAACGGGUUAUAGCUUGCUAUAAUUGUCAGCUAAGUGGCGCACGGGUGAGUAAUAUAUAGGUAACAUGCCUUCGAGAAGGGGAUAACGUUUGGAAACGAACGCUAAUACCCUAUAUGCCUUUAAGUCUUAAGACUGCAAGGGAAAUAUUUAUAGCUCUAGGAUGGGACUGUACGGUAUCAGAUAGUUGGUGAGGUAAUGGCUCACCAAGUCAAUGACGCCUAACUGGUUUGAGAGGAUGAUC